CCUACGGGAGGCUGCAGUGGGGAAUAUUGGGCAAUGGGCGAAAGCCUGACCCAGCAACGCCGCGUGAAUGAAGCAGGCUUUCGGAUUGUAAACUUCUUUUAUCAGGGACGAAGCAAGUGACGGUACCUGAGGAAUAAGCCUCGGCUAACUACGUGCAAGCAGCCGCGGUAAUACGUAGGGGGCAAGCGUUAUCCGGAUUUACUGGGUGUAAAGAGCGUGUAGGCGGGUGGGCAAGUCAGUUGGGAAACCUAUGGGCUCAACCCAUAGCCUGCAUUUAAAACUGUACUUCUUGAGUGCUGGAGAGGCAAUCGGAAUUCCGUGUGUAGCGGUGAAAUGCGUAGAUAUACGGAGGAACACCAGUGGCGAAGGCGGAUUGCUGGACAGUAACUGACGCUGAGGCGCGAAAGCGUGGGGAGCAAACAGGAUUAGAUACCCGUGUAGUC
rnacentral:rRNA from 1 species